CCAGUAGAGUUUGAUCAUGGCUCAGAUUGAACGCUGGCGGCAGGCCUAACACAUGCAAGUCGAACGGUAACAUUUCUAGCUUGCUAGAAGAUGACGAGUGGCGGACGGGUGAGUAAUACUUAGGAAUAUGCCUUUGUGUGGGGGAUAACUAUUGGAAACGAUAGCUAAUACCGCAUAACGUCUUCGGACCAAAGGGGGCUUCGGCUCCCGCGCAAAGAGUAGCCUAAGCGAGAUUAGCUUGUUGGUGAGGUAAAGGCUCACCAAGGCGACGAUCUCUAGCUGUUCUGAGAGGAAGAUCAGCCACACUGGAACUGAGACACGGUCCAGACUCCUACGGGAGGCAGCAGUGGGGAAUAUUGCACAAUGGGGGAAACCCUGAUGCAGCCAUGCCGCGUGUGUGAAGAAGGCCUUCGGGUUGUAAAGCACUUUCAGUUGUGAGGAAAGGUUAACGGUUAAUACCCGUUAGCUGUGACGUUAGCAACAGAAGAAGGACCGGCUAACUCC
rnacentral:rRNA from 1 species